rnacentral:rRNA from 1 species
CUCCGCUCCAUCGCAUGGUGGGGUGGGAAAUGCUUUUGCGGCAUGGGAUGGGGUCGCGUCCUAUCAGCUUGUUGGCGGGGUGAUGGCCCACCAAGGCGUUGACGGGUAGCCGGCCUGAGAGGGUGACCGGCCACAUUGGGACUGAGAUACGGCCCAGACUCCUACGGGAGGCAGCGGUGGGGAAUAUUGCACAAUGGGCGCAAGCCUGAUGCAGCGACGCCGCGUGCGGGAUGGAGGCCUUCGGGUUGUAAACCGCUUUUGUUCAAGGGCAAGGCACGGUUUCGGCCGUGUUGAGUGGAUUGUUCGAAUAAGCACCGGCUAACUACGUGCCAGCAGCCGCGGUAAUACGUAGGGUGCGAGCGUUAUCCGGAUUUAUUGGGCGUAAAGGGCUCGUAGGCGGUUCGUCGCGUCCGGUGUGAAAGUCCAUCGCCUAACGGUGGAUCUGCGCCGGGUACGGGCGGG